rnacentral:rRNA from 1 species
AUUGAACGCUGGCGGAAUGCUUUACACAUGCAAGUCGAACGGUAGAGGGGGGCAACCCCCUUGAGAGUGGCGAACGGGUGAGUAAUAUAUCGGAACGUGCCCAGUCGUGGGGAUAACGUAGCGAAAGUUACGCUAAUACCGCAUACGAUCUACGGAUGAAAGCGGGGGGACUCGCAAGAGCCUCGCGCGAUUGGAGCGGCCGAUAUCAGAUUAGGUAGUUGGUGGGGUAAAGGCUCACCAAGCCAACGAUCUGUAGCUGGUCUGAGAGGACGACCAGCCACACUGGAACUGAGACACGGUCCAGACUCCUACGGGAGGCAGCAGUGGGGAAUUUUGGACAAUGGACGCAAGUCUGAUCCAGCCAUUCCGCGUGCAGGAUGAAGGCCCUCGGGUUGUAAACUGCUUUUGUACGGAACGAAAAGGUUUCUAAUUAAUACUAGGAGCUCAUGACGGUACCGUAAGAAUAAGCACCGGCUAACUACGU